AUAGGGGAGCCGUAGGGAAACCGAGUCUUAACUGGGCGAAUGAGUUGCAGGGUAUAGACCCGAAACCCGGUGAUCUAUCCAUGGGCAGGUUGAAGGUUGGGUAACACUAACUGGAGGACCGAACCGACUAAUGUUGAAAAAUUAGCGGAUGACUUGUGGAUGGGGGUGAAAGGCCAAUCAAACCGGGAGAUAGCUGGUUCUCCCCGAAAGCUAUUUAGGUAGCGCCUCGUGAACUCAUCUUCGGGGGUAGAGCACUGUUUCGACUAGGGGGUCAUCCCGACUUACCAACUCGAUGCAAACUGCGAAUACCGAAGAAUGUUAUCACGGGAGACACACGGCGGGUGCUAACGUCCGUCGUGAAGAGGGAAACAACCCAGACCGCCAGCUAAGGUCCCAAAGUCAUGGUUAAGUGGGAAACGAAGUGGGAAGGCUCAGACAGCCAGGAUGUUGGCUUAGAAGCAGCCAUCAUUUAAAGAAAGCGUAAUAGCUCACUGGUCGAGUCGGCCCGCGCGGAAGAUGUAACGGGGCUAAACCAUGCACCGAAGCUGCGGCAGCGAACGUAUCACUUAAAUUUGUUUGAGUGAAUAACGAUUGACGGAACGAAGUGACGUCAAUGCGUUAAUGAAAGUCGAGGCGAAAGCACGACAAAGCGAAUUUAAGGAUACGUUCGUUGGGUAGGGGAGCGUUCUGUAAGCCUGCGAAGGUGUACUGUGAGGUAUGCUGGAGGUAUCAGAAGUGCGAAUGCUGACAUAAGUAACGAUAAUGCGGGUGAAAAACCCGCACGCCGGAAGACCAAGGGUUCCUGUCCAACGUUAAUCGGGGCAGGGUGAGUCGACCCCUAAGGCGAGGCUGAAAAGCGUAGUCGAUGGGAAACGGGUUAAUAUUCCCGUACUGGUGGUAACUGCGAUGGGGGAACGGAGAAGGCUAGGUUGUCCGGGCGACGGUCGUCCCGGUUCAAGCAGGUAGGCAGAGUGAUUAGGCAAAUCCGGUCACUUAAUGCUGAGAUGUGAUGACGAACCACCAAGGUGGUGAAGCAAUUGAUGCCCCGCUUCCAGGAAAAGCCUCUAAGCUUCAGGUUACCAACAAUCGUACCCCAAACCGACACAGGUGGUCAGGUAGAGAAUACUCAGGCGCUUGAGAGAACUCGGGUGAAGGAACUAGGCAAAAUGGUGCCGUAACUUCGGGAGAAGGCACGCUGGCGGUAGGUAAAGUCCCUCGCGGACAGAGCUGAAGCCAGUCGAAGAUACCAGCUGGCUGCAACUGUUUAUUAAAAACACAGCACUGUGCAAACACGAAAGUGGACGUAUACGGUGUGACGCCUGCCCGGUGCUGGAAGGUUAAUUGAUGGGGUUAGCGCAAGCGAAGCUCCUGAUCGAAGCCCCAGUAAACGGCGGCCGUAACUAUAACGGUCCUAAGGUAGCGAAAUUCCUUGUCGGGUAAGUUCCGACCUGCACGAAUGGCGUAAUGAUGGCCAGGCUGUCUCCACCCGAGACUCAGUGAAAUUGAACUCGCUGUGAAGAUGCAGUGUACCCGCGGCAAGACGGAAAGACCCCGUGAACCUUUACUAUAGCUUGACACUGAACAUUGAGCCUUGAUGUGUAGGAUAGGUGGGAGGCUUUGAAGUGUGGACGCCAGUCUGCAUGGAGCCAACCUUGAAAUACCACCCUUUAACGUUUGAUGUUCUAACCUAGGCCCGUGAUCCGGGUCGGGGACCGUGUCUGGUGGGUAGUUUGACUGGGGCGGUCUCCUCCUAAAGAGUAACGGAGGAGCACGAAGGUUGGCUAAGCAUGGUCGGACAUCAUGCGGUUAGUGCAAAGGCAUAAGCCAGCUUGACUGCGAGAGUGACGGCUCGAGCAGGUACGAAAGUAGGUCUUAGUGAUCCGGUGGUUCUGAAUGGAAGGGCCAUCGCUCAACGGAUAAAAGGUACUCCGGGGAUAACAGGCUGAUACCGCCCAAGAGUUCAUAUCGACGGCGGUGUUUGGCACCUCGAUGUCGGCUCAUCACAUCCUGGGGCUGAAGUAGGUCCCAAGGGUAUGGCUGUUCGCCAUUUAAAGUGGUACGCGAGCUGGGUUUAGAACGUCGUGAGACAGUUCGGUCCCUAUCUGCCGUGGGCGUUGGAAGAUUGAGAGGGGUUGCUCCUAGUACGAGAGGACCGGAGUGAACGCACCACUGGUGUUCGGGUUGUCAUGCCAAUGGCAUUGCCCGGUAGCUAAGUGCGGAAGAGAUAACCGCUGAAAGCAUCUAAGCGGGAAACUUGCCUCGAGAUGAGUCUUCCCUGUCGCUUAAAGCGACCUAAAGGAACGUUUAAGACGAAGACGUUGAUAGGCUGGAUGUGUAAGCGUAGCGAUACGUUGAGCUAACCAGUACUAAUGAACCGUGAGGCUUAACCUG
rnacentral:rRNA from 1 species